rnacentral:rRNA from 1 species
CAGUCGCCGCGGGAAUACGUAGGGUGCAAGCGUUAAUCGGAAUUACUGGGCGUAAAGCGUGCGCAGGCGGUUAUAUAAGUCAGAUGUGAAAUCCCCGGGCUCAACCUGGGAACUGCAUUUGAGACUGUAUGGCUAGAGAGUGUCAGAGGGGGGUAGAAUUCCACGUGUAGCAGUGAAAUGCGUAGAUAUGUGGAGGAAUAUCGAUGGCGAAGGCAGCCCCCUGGGAUAACACUGACGCUCAUGCACGAAAGCGUGGGGAGCAAACAGGAUUAGAUACCCCCGUAGUCCCUGUCUCUUAUAC